GAGAUCAGGGGUGCCACUGUGGCAGAGAGAGAGGGGGCUCCUGCGCAGGAAUUACGCCAUCGCCUCUCAUUUGUUCGCCCAUUCCAUCAAAAAAGUUAGCUAUUUAUAGGUGGCUGCGGCACAACAACCCGAAGGCAUCCAAAACAAUCUCUGCUGAUUGAAGAAGCCGCAAAGUGAUCGACACCUGAAGCGGUCGCCCAGCAUUCACUCUGUCCAAAACAGAUCAAACCUCGCGUCACGCACCAGCCAAUUACCGACCAUAAGAUCAGACAGAGCCCGUCACCAAGACCCCUCUUUCCAAAGUGAACACGUCCGGUUCAAGGUGGUGCAUGUGAGAUUGCCAAACCCGUGCAUCCGAGUGGAGUGCACUUUUCCCAGCCUCAGAAAGCAGCCUGUCCCUUUAAGCGCCAGUUUUACCUGGACAGCCGCCACACAUCAGACUUACAAGCCCCGCUGCACACUUGUAAAUUAGCCACGGCGUCGCGCUAGCUGGAGCCCGGUGAGAUGCCGUCUGGUGUGUGAAGCGAUUCCCCCCCUGACGAGGGCCAGGCCCGAGCCCUUACCUGCCUGACGCA